rnacentral:rRNA from 1 species
UUUUGUUUAUUUAUUUAAGGUCUGACCUGCCCAAUGAGGAAUUCAAUGGCCGCAGUAUUCUAACUGUGCUAAGGUAGCAUAAUCAUUUGUCUUUUAAUUGAGGGCUGGAAUGAAAGGUUGGACGAGAUAUCAGCUUUCUUUAUUUUAAUUUCUGGAAUUUAAUUUUUAAGUUAAAAAGCUUAAAUAUAUUUGUUGGACGAGAAGACCCUAUAGAUCUUUAUAAUUUUAUAUUUUGGCAAUUUAGAGAUUUUUUUGCUUGGAGUAAAUUAAUUAUUUUGUUGGGGUAACUAUAGAAUUUUAAUAACUUCUGUUUGUUUGUAUCGUUUAUUGAUGUUUUUUUGAUCCGUGUAUGUUACGAUUAGAAGAUUAAGUUACCUUAGGGAUAACAGCGUAAUUUUUUCGGAGAGUUCAUAUUGAUGAAGGAGUUUCGGACCUCGAUGUUGGAUUAAAAUAAGUUAUGGACGCAGAAGUCUAUAUACUAGGACUGUUCGACCUUUAAAUUUUUACAUGAUCUGAG